rnacentral:sRNA from 1 species
GAUCAGCAGCAGCAGCAGCAACACUAGCAGCAGCACCAGCAGCAGCACCAGCAGCAGCACCUGUAGCACUGGUAGCAGUUGAGGCACAAUUCAAGUCAAAAUAUGUCUGUUGCAGUUGCUGCUGCUGCAGCUGCUACUGGCGCGCCUGCUGCUGCAGCUGCUGCUGCAGUUGCAGCAGCUGCUGCUGCUCUUGCAGCAGCAGCUGCUGCAGCGGCUGCUGCAGUUGCAGCAGCUGCUGCUGCUCAUGCAGCAGGAGCUGCUGCAGCGGCUGCCGAUGCAG